rnacentral:misc_RNA from 1 species
UGGUUCUGGCAUCGAUGAAGAACGCAGCGAAAUGCGAUAAGUAAUGUGAAUUGCAGAAUUCAGUGAAUCAUCGAAUCUUUGAACGCACAUUGCGCCCAUUAGUAUUCUAGUGGGCAUGCCUAUUCGAGCGUCAUUUCGACCCUUAAGCCCUCGUUGCUUAGCGUUGGGAGCCUGCGUCCCCUAGGGGCGCAGUUCCUCAAAGUUAGUGGCGGAGCUAGGGCACACUCUAAGCGUAGUAAGCUAUUCUCGCUUCUGUGGUGUACCUGGCUUCCUGCCGUAAAACCCCUAUACAUCUAGUGGUUGACCUCGAAUUAGGUAGGAAUACCCGCUGA